CAGUCGCCACGGGAAUACGAAGGGAGCAAGCGUUGUUCGGAAUUACUGGGCGUAAAGGGUGCGUAGGCUGUUUAAUAAGUUAGAUGUGAAAGCCUCGGUUUCAAGCUGAGAAUAGCAUUUAAUACUGUUAGACUAGAGGAUAAGAGAGGAUAGUGGAAUUCUGAGUGUAGAGGUAAAAUUCGUAGAUAUUCGGAGGAACACCGGAGGCGAAAGCGUCUAUCUGGAUUAAUCCUAACGCUGAGGCACGAAAGUAUGGGGAGCAAACAGGAUUAGAUACCCCCGUAGUCCCUGUCUCUUAUAC
rnacentral:rRNA from 1 species